AUGGAGCGUCCUAUGGGACAAAAGGCGGCAAAACGAAAAGGUAAGGCAAAGGAAAAUACAAAUGCAACUGAACCUCCUUCUAGUGUUAAUUCUGAUACAAUGACUAAAAGAAUGAAUUUAAUGGAAAAUCUAGCACGGCUUAAGGAGGAAGAAAACAAAUUAGUCAAGGAAAAGAUGGAGUCUGAAGCACGACUUAAGGAGGAAGAAAACAAAUUAAUAAAGGAAAAGAUGGAGUUUGAAGCAAUGCAAUUCAUAAUGUCAGACACUUCUAAGAUGAAUGAUAGUCAGCGUGAAUUUCAUGAAAAACGGUGUAAUAACCUAAAAGAAAAAUAUGGAUGGUAA